rnacentral:lncRNA from 14 species
UAAUUGAGGGCUUGUUCACAGUUUUAGGUUAGUCCAUGGACAUCAUGACGGUGAAUAUGAUAAAGGCAGGCAUGGUGCUGGAACAGUAGCUGAGAGCUCACUUCUGAUCUAUAAAUUGCAGGCAGAGACUGGGCUUGGCAUGUCCUCUUGAAACCUCAAAGCCAUUCUAGUGGCACAUGUCCUCCAACAAGGCCACACCUCCUAAUCCUUCCCAAACAGUUCCACUAACAGGGAACUAAACAUUCAAAUAUAUGAGCCUAUGAGGGUUCAUUCUCAUUCAAACCAUUACAUAUAUUUUAAAAAGACAAAAGAAACCCAUCAAAAUGGUGUAACUAAGUAAGUCAUUCUUCAUGUAGUUGUGGAAUUACAGAAAACUUCUAAGUUUUCCUACUGUUCAUGUCUUUUAAACAGUACACAUUAUUUUCAUAGUUAACAGUUACAUAAUAUUACCAAGCCGGAGAGAUUUUGACAGUUGAGAGUACUACCUGUCUUGCAGAGGACCAAGGCCAGCACAGUGGUUCACAAAUUGUCCCUACCUCCAGUUCCAGGAGACUGAUCUGACACCCUCUUCUUGCUUCCUGGGCACCAAGCAUGCAUGUGAUUUACAUACAUACAUGCCAUUAGUUACACACACACAUGCAAAAAUAUUUUUUAAAAAUGACAGAUUAGGUGAAAUUGGCUGUGUACAAUAAUUAUCUGUCCUCCCCUCAGAUAAGGGCUAGCAGUAGUGUGACUUUAUUGGGCAAGAGAGGGAAAAUGUUUUGCCUCCUGAUAUUAAACAUGGAAAAAGGGGUCAAAAUUUAGCAGAAUGGCCUGGGGAUGUAGUUCAAUUGCCCAACCAGCUCAAGGCCUAUGGUUUACUCCUUUGCACAACAAAUUACCAGAAGCAGCCUUACUACAACUGUUAUUGCUGUGCUUGGCAACACAUUCAUAUAUAAGCCCCCUUGGUUUUGCUAAAUCUAACUUAGCAUUGUCAUCUUAAAAAUUAAAUAUUCAGGGGUUGGGGAUUUAGCUCAGUGGUAGAGCACUUGCCUAGCAAGCGCAAGGCCCUGGGUUCGGUCCCCAGCUCCAAAAUAAAUAAAUAGAUAAAUAAAUAAAUA